AUGUGGACCUUUGUCCGCAAAAGGUCCAUGCAAAGAACGGGUGGAGGCCCCCCCCGAUGUACAGCCGGAGACGGUAGAUCAAAUAAUAUUGUCUACAAUAGAAUAGUUACCUAUUGUAGACUGAGUGUGUCUGCAUUGUCUGGACAUUCAGACAGCCAAGAGUCAAGUGCUAGACUCAUAAACUUUCACCAUGAACCAACAAAUGACAUAGAACCAAUCAUUGUUGAAUUGGACCAAAAUGUCCAAAUUAUAGUGACCGAACCACCUGCAAUGGAACCUGCACCAGGAACAUCUUCAGAAACAACUCAAAAUAUGACCUGGUAUGCCAAUUUCGGACAAGAUUUGCAUUAGUACAGAUGGAUUGCCGUUGUCGAAGGCACCUUGGACAUCAAGAAAUGCACAAACAGUUGCUGAGUGACCAUGAAAAUAAUUCUUAAUGUCUUCUACAAGAGAAGUGAAACUUUCUGCAGCACUACACCCCUUUCGAAAUCCAAAUUGUUGUUCAGGAGGAGAUUGAGGUGCAUAUUUAUCCAGAACAGAGGGGAUCCACUCAUAAUUUUUGGGUGUUUUGGAUAAGUACUUCAGCCAGUCAGCUUUGCUGUAUGAUGAUCAGAAGCAUUUUUACUAUGAGAGGGGGGUCAGGUUUCUCUGCACCUGACCGUACACGAAACGAUCAAUGGGACACCUAUUUCAUAUUUAUGUACUGAAGUCUGUAUAUCAAUAAUAGUGGGAAAGUGAUAGCUGCCCAUGGAGUCAUCAUGAACUCUCCAGUGGCAGAGUGAAGCUAAGGAUGGACUUAUGCAGGAUAUAUCUAUUGCUGAGGGUAUUUUUAUUAGGGCUACCUACUGUGGUUGGAGUUCCAGUAUUUAGAAUACAUAAGUCAUAUUCAUCUAUAAUAUUGUAUAUUUCACUACCUCUGGAUUUAGUGGAAAGGCAACCAAAGGCAACAUGAUGUGCAUUAAGGUCGCCUGAUAGCAUAAUAGGUUUAGGUAAAUCAUUUAAAAAAAAAUCCUUGAAGAAUCCUACGAGCCUAAGAACCUACGUUGGUUGUUAUUAGUAGGUGGACUGUAUGCACAUAACAAUGUGAGAUUACCAGCAUCAGUUGAUAAGAUUCUAGCUGUGGUUUGCAAGAAUUCAUAAAAGGGUGUGGGAGAAACUGUAUAUUUUAAAUGGUUUU